AUGAUGAUAUCCUCUUCCCCUCUGAAUUUCUUCUCUCAAUUUGUCUCCCUCUACUCCAGUUCUGCCCGGAUUCAACAUCCUUGCAAUUCCGAUUCAUCCUCAAAUGCUGAUGUCUCAUUCACAACCAUAAAGCCGAAGAAAAAAAAAGGAAGAAUAUACAUGAAGAAGUUGAUAGUGAAAGAUCUUACUGAAUGGAGAACACCCGGCAGCUCUCUGACGCCAUACGAGGAAACCAGGGGUAAAUUAGGUAAUCGACAUUAUUUCUGUGAUUCACUUCUUUUUCGGCAAUUCUUCUUUGUGUCUUCUGCGAAUCUGAACUUUGAUGUGCGUUGA